UACAGAGGGUGCAAGCGUUGUUCGGAAUUAUUGGGCGUAAAGGGCGCGUAGGCGGUGCGGUAAGUCUGCGGUGAAAUCUCCUGGCUCAACUGGGAGUCUGCCGUGGAAACUGCCGUGCUUGAGUGUGGGAGAGGUGAGUGGAAUUCCCGGUGUAGCGGUGAAAUGCGUAGAGAUCGGGAGGAACACCAGCGGCGAAGGCGGCGACCUGGACAGGUACUGACACUCAACUACGAAAGCGUGGGGAGCGAACAGG
rnacentral:rRNA from 1 species